UACGUAGGGUGCGAGCGUUAAUCGGAAUUACUGGGCGUAAAGCGCACGUAGGCGGAUUUGUAAGUCAGGGGUGAAAUCCCGGGGCUCAACCUCGGAACUGCCUUUGAUACUGCGAAUCUCGAGUCCGAUAGAGGUGGGUGGAAUUCCUAGUGUAGAGGUGAAAUUCGUAGAUAUUAGGAAGAACACCGGUGGCGAAGGCGGCCCACUGGAUCGGUACUGACGCUGAGGUGCGAAAGCGUGGGGAGCAAACAGG
rnacentral:rRNA from 1 species